UUUUUUUUAGCUGGAAGUCCCUUUAAAUCUUUAAUCCUUUAGGGAAUUAGGGACUUUAGGGUUACUCUUCUUCCUCUUACUCUCUUAGUAGCCGCACACACUAACUCUUCUCUCUUCUCUCUCCUCUUUCACUCAGUCACUCACCCCUCUUCUCUAUCUUCUUUCACUCCCUCUCAGGCGACCUCAUUCCUCCCUCUUACGCGACCUCCAUCAGACCCUCUCAGAGUCUCAGGCGACCUUCAUCAGCCGCGCAAGGAAUUGUUUUCGGAGGACUUGACGGGGGCAAAAUUGAAUCAAACAAAUGGAAAUGCAGACUCUGGUGAUUUUGAGAUUUUGAUGAGAUCAGUUUUUUUGAGAAUAAAAUAUCAGAUAUUUUUUUUAAUGAAA